rnacentral:rRNA from 1 species
UACGUAGGGUGCGAGCGUUAAUCGGAAUUACUGGGCGUAAAGCGUGCGCAGGCGGUUCUCCAAGUCCGUUGUGAAAGCCCCGGGCUCAACCUGGGAAUGGCAGUGGAAACUAGGGGACUGGAAUCUGGCAGAGGGGGGUGGAAUGCCGCGUGUAGCAGUGAAAUGCGUAGAGAUGUGGAGGAAUACCGAUGGCGAAGGCAGCCCCCUGGGACGUCACUGACGCUCAUGCACGAAAGCGUGGGGAGCAAACAGG